CGAGUGUUUCCUUAUUGAUCUUCUGUUUGGAUGAUUUAUCCGUUGGUGUAAGUGGAGUGUUAAAGCCCCCUACUAUUAUUGUGUUACUAUUUCGCCUCUUAUGUCUGUUAAUAAUUGCUUUAUAUGUUUAGAUGCUCCUAUGUUGGGUGUGUAGAUAUUUACAAGUGUUAUAUUUUCUUGUUGGAUUGUUCCCUUUAUCAUUAUGUAGUGCCUGUCUUUGUCUCUUAUUACAGUUUUUGAUUUAAAGUCUAUUUUGUCUGAUAUAAGUAUUGCUACCUCUGCUUUCUUUUCUUUGCCAUUUGUAUGGAAUAUUUUUUUCCAUCCUUUCACUUUCAGUUUGUGAGUGUCUGUAGGUCUGAAGUGUGUCUCUUGUAUGCUGCAUAUACAUGGGUCUUGUUUGUUUAUCCAGUUGCCACCCUAUGGCAUUUGAUUGGAGCAUUUAGUCCAUUGACAUUUAAAGUAGCUAUUGAUAAAUAUGUAUUUAUUGCCAUCCUGUCACUUUUUUUUUCUGGGUGUUUUAGUAGUUCUUCUCUGUUCCUGUCUUUUUCUCUUGCUCUCUUCCCUUGUGGUUUGAUGGCUAUCUUUAGUAAUAUGUUUGAUUGCUUUUGCCUUACUUUUUUUCAUGCUUGCUUUAGGUUUCUGAUUUGUGGUUACCAUGAGGAUCCUAUUUAAUAUACUAUGCAUAUAACAGUCUAUAUUGAGUAGAUAGUCUCUUUAGCUUGACCUCUUUCUAAAGGCUCUACUUUUUCACUCCCCUCCUCCCACAUUAUAUGUUCUUCACAUCAUAUAUAGUCUCUUCUUUAGUGUGUGUCUAUCCAUUACUCUCUUAUCAUUGAAAUAGGUGAUUUUAGUACAUUUGUCUUUUAACCUUCAUAUUAUCUUCACAGGUAGUUGAUCUGCUGCCUUUACUAUAUUUUUACCUUACAAGUGAUUUUAUUGCAUUUUUUUUAUUGUUGUUGUUUUGGGGUUUUUUGAUAAUUUUUUUUAUCUCUAUUUGUGGUCGUUGCUUUCCCACUUAAAUAAGUCCCUUCAGCAUUUAUUGUAAGGCUGGUUUCUUAGUGAUAAACUCCUUUAAUUUUGGCUUGUCUGAUAAGGUGUUUAUCUCUCCUUCCAUCCUAAAUGACAACCUUGAUAGAUAGAGUAUUCUUGGCUUUUUUCUUUUUAGCACUUUAGAUAUGUUGUGCCAUUCUCUUCUCGCCUGUAGGGUCUCGACUGAGAAGUCCGCUGAUAGCCUGAUGGGCUUCCCUUUAUAUGUCACUUGUGGCCCUUCUCUUGCUGCUUUUAGGAUUCUCUCUUUGUCUUUAAUUUUGGACAUUUUGAUUAUAAUAUGUCUUGGUGUGGGCCUCUUUGGGCUUCUCUUGUUUGGAGCUCUCUGUGCUUCCUGAACUUGGAUGUCUGUUUCCUUCCUCAGGUUAGGAAAAUUUUCCUCUAUUAUUUCAACAAAUAAAUUUUCUGCCCCUUUGUCUCUCUCUUCUCCUUCUGGGACCCCUAUAAUCCAAAUGUUAGCACGCUUGAUAUUGUCCCAGAGUUCUCUUACACUGUUCUCAUUCUGUCUAAUUUUCAUUUCUUUUCUGUUCUGCUUGGGUGAUUUCCUCUAGUCUUUCAUCUAGCUCGCUGAUCCAUUCUUCUGCUUCCAAUACUCUGCUAUUGAGUCCCUCUAGUGAAUUUCUCAUUUUGAGUAUUGUAUUCUUCAUUUCUGAUUGGUUUUUUUAAUUUUUUUUCCCAUGGUUGGUUUUUUUUGUUUUGUUUUUUAAAGAUUUUAUUUUUUCCUUUUUCUCCCCAAAGCCCCCAGUACAUAGUUGUAUAGUCUUCGUUGUGGGUCCUUCUAGUUGUGGCAUGUGGGACGCUGCCUCAGCGUGGUUUGAUGAGCAGUGCCAUGUCCACGCCCAGGAUUCAAACUGACGAAACACUGGGCUGCCAGCAGCAGAGCGCACAAACUUAACCACUCAGCCAUGGGGCCAGGCCCCAUGAUUGUUUUUUUUUUAUAUCUUCCAGUUCUUUUCUGAUGUGCUCACUGUGUUCAUCCAUUCUUCUCUGCAUAUCUGUAAGCAUCCUCAGGAUAUUUUGUUUGAACUUUUUGUCAAGUAGGUCGCUAGUUUCUGUUUCACUCAGUCCUUUUUCUGGGGUUUUGUACUGUUCCCUUGCUUGGAAAGUAUUCCUUUGCCUCCUCAUUAUGCCUCUUUCUCUGUGCUAUUUUCUUUGUAGUAGGUGAGUCGACUAAGUCUCCUGAUCUUGGAGAAGUGGCCUUAUGUAUGAGAUGCCUUAUGAGGCCCAGCAGUGUGCUUCCCUCUCAUCACCAGUCCAUAAGAACCAGGAGUGACCCCUUUGUGGGCUACUUGUGUCCUUCUGCUGUGGCAGGGUUGCUCCCACUGCAGGUACCUAGGGAGUCUGAUCUUUCCUUCCCUGGCCAGCUGUUUGUAAAUCCAGUUUGGGGAGCCUCAGCACUGUUGGCUGCAAAAUCUAUCAGCACUCUCUGAUUGCAGUUUUCCUCUUAAUUGGGUUGGUGCCCAGUGUAGCUGGUUGCUAGGCUCAGGGGCAUACAGUUGUGAUAGGCCUCAGGCCAACAAGGCUGUUGUCAGUUUCCUUAGGAGUGCAGCUGAGUGGGGCUAGCCCUUGGCAGGGGGCACUCAAUUGUUUCAGGCUUUGGAAGGUGGGGCUGACCUUUUUUAUGGCUAUUUGUGAAGCACAAGUCUUCUGAUAAGCCUCACCCCCCACAGGACCACAUACACUGUCAACACAGUCCUGGUCUGUGCAAACUUUUCAACCCCCUGGAGCAUACCCCAACGCCACACUGCAGAGGCUCCCAUCUCUCACCCACAGUUCACCUGGUCCUCACACAGGUCCUGCCCCACAGAGGCAGACACCCUUGCCUGCCUGUAGAGGAUCAAGGGACCCAGUCAAUACAGGCUGAAAAGUAGCCUGAGGGCUUGCUGUUAGGUGGGGCCAGUCCCUAGGGUGGGCUGCCUGCCCUGGCUGAACUGAAUUAAAUCUGUGCUCUGGUAGGCGUGGCAGACCCCUGGGCCAACAGCCCAAGGGACAAACCUCAAUGGCCCCCACCGGGCCAUAUCAGCACGCCUGGACCAGGUCAGAACAAUGGCCCCCACCAAUGUGCCAGUCUCCGGAGAGGUCCCUCCUCUCACCAAGAUGCCCCCAGAGCCCACCAGCUGCUAUGGUAUGAUUGGAUCUAUGAAGAGACCCAGGGAGACAGGAACAGAGGGAGGCCUCCAAACAACAGCCAGUGAGAAACUGAGACCCUCUGUCCAACAGUCCAUGAGGAACUGAAUCCUGUCAGCAACCACGUGAGUAACAGUGACUUUGGAAACGGAUUCUACCUCAGAUUGAGAGGAACUGUACUCAAGGAGCUGUACUUAUGGAAGUAUUCCUAAGAGGCCUCAGCAAAACCUGGAUCUGACUUAAAUAAUGAGGUUCUAGACAUUGAACUGAUACUGUAAUGUCUUACUCUUGGGUAGGGGUGAGUGUACUUUCCAUUUAAGAGGGACAUGAAUCAUUGGGGAUCAGAGGGUAGGCUGUGGUAGGCAGCCCUUAAGAUGACUUGCAGUAUCUGCCUCCUGAUACUUACAUCCUUGGGUAAUCACCUUCCUUUGAGUGUGGAAUGGACCUAGUCACUUCUUCCUAAUGGACAGAAUAUGGCAAAAGUAAUGAUAUAUCACUUCCAAGAUUAGGUUACAAAGAGACUGUAGCUUCCAUUUUGUGCACUCUCUCUCUCAUUCUCAUGUUCUCUGAUGGAAGCCAGCAUCCCUAGGGAGAGGCCCAUAAAGGAAAGAACUUAAGGAAGCCUCACACUAACAACCAGCAAGGAACUGAGACCCUCUGUGCAACGUCCCUUGAAGAAGUGAAUCCUACCAACAACCAUGAAGUUGUUGAGCAGAGUGCUGAGAAAACGAUCGAUCGAUUGAAUCCACUUGUUGACGCAAACAAGAAAAGGAGGAAGCAGGUGUCAUACUAGCAAACAAAGGCUCUUCUUUGAUGGGAGGAAAAGAAAAUCUCUAAAACGUUAGUCCUCUACAGGGCAUGACUGCUCCAAUGAAUUCUUUUAAAAACAGGGAUCUUGUUAUUAGAAGAAGGAGGAUUGUUAAGGGCCAACGAUCUCUCUGAGACCAGGAACAUCAUGGCUGGAUGGUGUAAGGAAAAGAUCUUCUUACUCCUCUCCCUGGUAGUCAAGUUUUCUGACUGCUGGAGAGUAGAUAUUACCAGAAUGCUGGUCCCAGAGAGUAAAAAGGUAAGAAAGGAAAUAGCAAAGUAAGAACUGACGGUACAAAAAAGUAGGAGAAGAAAACCUAGAAAUAGAGAGAUCAGAAACGGGCUUUAAGUACGAAGCAAUAGAGAACAUAACGACGAUUUAUAGCACUAAUUUAUACCUAGGAUUUUGAAAGUGAAAUUUAAAAAUUAAAAAAAAAAGUUCAAGAACAGAACUUCCGAUCUGUCUCCGAGGUAAACUGGGAAUCUGAUGAAGAUCCCUUGGCUUUGCAGCACUCAUACUUACCAGAGAAAAACUAUAAUCAUUAGCUGUAUAAUUCAACCCCAUCUCCUCCACUACUACCAGAUUUUUUCCUCCAAGUCUUCGCUACAGCCCUGUCCUGUCACAUCAGUGGGCACCUCACAGUGAUAAUAUCACCAUUAUUAGUAAUAUCAGCAACAGCUACAAUUUAUUGAGUCUUAGCCAAGGCUUAAGCACUGAAGUGACCACCUUUGGAACAUAACAUCACUUAAUUCUCACAAAAACCCUAUAAUGUGAGUGCUAUUAAGCUCUCCAUUCAGUGGAUGAGGAAAACCAUCUAAGGCUGAGAGAGAUUCACAAAACUUGCCCGAGGAUGCACAGCUGGAAAACGAAAAACUGGAAUUUGAACUAACUUCAAAGUCCACGGCCACUAUUUUAGAUAGCCUCCCAUAAUAUUUCAUUUGUGGAGCACUUAUAUGUUAUCACUAUGCAAAGAGCUUUGCUUAUAUUAUCAUAUUGGAUUAUCACAACAGCCCAUAAGGUAGGUUUGAUGAUCCUGUUUUACAAAACAAGAAUUUAAGUAAGUGUACUGAUCACUAGUCUAUUGUCCACUGACCCUCCAGCUAAAAUCAACCACUAUUUAAGUCACUAACAUGUGCAAAAUGAAUACUUAAUAAAAACAAGCUUUGUAGACAAUGUGCUUUAUGAUGACUGUAAUUGGUGAACAAUGUGCAAAUAUCAUACAGGGAACCCCUAGUUUCAUGCAAUACUGAACUCAUGGUAAACUACUUCUCUUUUUCUCAUUUUGUAGGCCAAAGAGUGCCCCUUCUGGCUGCGUACCCACUUAUAUAACCCCUACACAGAAGUCAAUGGGUGUUCCAGGCAGCAGCAAAACAGAUGUGGCUGCUGGGGUGGGGUGGAAGACGAUGACCAGCAUACAGAUUGCUGUGCUUAUGUUCUGCGUCGACAUCUGAUAUGGCUAUUCUUGUCUGUGUUUACAUGUCCCAUUCAUCUGGUUCAACCAGACAGAGUUUUACUAAUAUUAUUGAUGGUUGCCAUAACAACAAGCAUGUGAAUAUACUUUAGCUAAGAAAUUGUGACAAGUAUUUGGUUGAUCACAGUCCGUAAAUUGCAUAGAGGGAUGAUCUCCAGGGGUGAAGGGGGAUGGAAUAGGACAUCACCAGAUGGACACUUGCUUUGAUCUCAUUGAGGAAAUUUACAUAGUGAUUUCUCCUGAAAAAGUUCCUUUCCAGGGGCUUCCUCUGGAAAUUUGGAGCUGUUUGAUCCUUGGAGAAUAGCCAGUAACUCAACCAAAGACUCUUCUUAGACCAUAAAUAGCAUUCUGAGUUUGCAUCCUCCAUUUCCAUCACUCUCCCUCUCCUGAUCUUCUCAGUCUCUUCAGUAUUCAAGAAACUAAUGGAACAAAGUCAAAUACUAGAAAUUGGGUAAUCUUCCUUUGCUUCUUUUAGCUCUGGCUUCUUAGGUGACAUUCCUUUUGAUCACAGAUACUUCCUAAAAAUAUACUGGAUAUUGUGGAGUUGGGGGAGAAAAAGGGGCAAGAUGGUGGAUAUCAAAGACCUGGAAAACAACCUCUGCCAUUGAUGAAUUUGUGGUCAUGCUUGAGAGGCAGGGUGACUGAAGGGGUUCCUGAGGUGUGGGGCUUUUCGCUUUAUAACCAGGAAAGUCCAAGGCAAACCAGGAUGAGUUAGAGACUCUAUGAAGUGAGUCUGAGAAAUUCACUUCACCUACGUAGACCUCAUUUCUCCCAACUCUAAAAAUGAAUUAAAAAUUUUAUUUCCUUUGCCUUAUUCUCAGUAAACCAUAUACAAAAGAAGAAAACAAUACAUGAAAUCCUUUAAAAAAAAAAAAAGAGUACAGAGAUGCCAGCCAUAUCUGAUCCUAGAGUAUUGGCUUCAGAGAGACAGGGAAUUGGGUCUCCUUGGUGAAACACCUUAACAUCCAAGACCUCAAACACUUAGCUUCUCCCUAUGGUGCACCUGAUCUCUUUGAGACAAUGCAGUACUAUUUAAUAAGCUGACUCCCCAAAGGUGUCUAAGUGAUUCCCAGGAUGUAGGUCACACACUGGAAGAAUCGCAUUCAACCAAUGUUGAACAACCAAGCUUAAAACUCCCAACACACAGCUGCAUGUUUAAGAUGAAUAAGACAUCAUUGGUGAAAUAUUUUUAUUACAAGGGGUUACGACUUAAACACAGCAAAAAAGAUAUUGGAUUGAGGUGUUCCAUUUAAUGUAUUGGUUGAGAAGGGAGUGAGAGAGGGUAAGGGGAAGAGACAGAAGAGUCAUCCUAUGGUGAUUUCAUCCCACCAUUCCUCUUCCAGUGAGAUAAGAGCAGUCAUUGGGCUUAAGAUUAUCCAUUAUUCAUUUUCUCUAAAGAAGUAGGAGUGCUAUGAGAAUUACGGAUUAGUGCAGGGGAGGGGUAUACUCAAAGACUCCUGGUCUCCCAAUUUAGAACACAGUUGGGAGAAGGAAGGAGCAGAGCCUUCCCCUCCAGAACAAUAACAGCGGCAACACUAGCCACCCACCUUGGCUCAGCUCAGCCCAUAGAGAAAAAGAUACUCCACCCAAGCCCUGUCAGAGCUUAUUGGCUUUGUGUGAAUGAGGUUGAGGAGAGAGCUAUGAUGCUUUGAGGCUACACAGAUAAUCCAUCACUUUCCUCUCUGUGCCCAGGAAGGCUUGUGACAUGUGUCCCAAGAAAAAGAUACGAUGAAGUCCAAACCCCUGGUACCUGUGAAUGUGACCUUAUCUGGAAAUAAGAUCUUUUCAGAUACAAUCAAGUUAAGAUGAGAUCACACUGAAUUAGAGUGGGCCCUAAUCUAAUGACUAGGGUCCUUAUAAGAAGAUGAAAUUUGAACACAAAGAGACACAAGAACAACAUAUGAUGACAAACACAGAGAUUAGAGUGAUGCAUCUGCAAGCCCAGGAAUGCCAAGAAUUACUGGCAAUCACCAGAAGCUAAGAGAAAGGCGUGGAACAGGCUCUCCCUCAGACGGAACCUCUCUGACACCUUGUUUGUGGAAUUUUGGCCUCCAAAACUGUGAGAUAAUAAAUUUCUGUUAUAUUAAAC
rnacentral:lncRNA from 1 species